rnacentral:lncRNA from 1 species
AUGGGGCUGGGUGAGGGAAAACCUGGGAUCCCCUUCCCAAAAAUCCCUUGGGAUUGGGGGAUCCCCUUCCCAAAAAUCCCUUGGGAUUGGGGGAUCCCCUUCCCAAAAAUCCCUUGGGAUUGGGGGAUCCCCUUCCCAAAAAUCCCUUGGGAUUGGGGGAUCCCCUUCCCAAAAAUCCCUUGGGAUUGGGGGAUCCCCUUCCCAAAAAUCCCUUGGGAUUGGGGGAUCCCCUUCCCAAAAAUCCCUUGGGAUUGGGGGAUCCCCUUCCCAAAAAUCCCUUGGGAUUGGGGGAUCCCCUUCCCAAAAAUCCCUUGGGAUUGGGGGAUCCCCUUCCCAAAAAUCCCUUGGGAUUGGGGGAUCCCCUUCCCAAAAAUCCCUUGGGAUUGGGGGAUCCCCUUCCCAAAAAUCCCUUGGGAUUGGGGGAUCCCCUUCCCAAAAAUCCCUUGGGAUUGGGGGAUCCCCUUCCCAAAAAUCCCUUGGGAUUGGGGGAUCCCCUUCCCAAAAAUCCCUUGGGAUUGGGGGAUCCCCUUCCCAAAAAUCCCUUGGGAUUGGGGGAUCCCCUUCCCAAAAAUCCCUUGGGAUUGGGGGAUCCCCUUCCCAAAAAUCCCUUGGGAUUGGGGGAUCCCCUUCCCAAAAAUCCCUUGGGAUUGGGGGAUCCCCUUCCCAAAAAUCCCUUGGGAUUGGGGGAUCCCCUUCCCAAAAAUCCCUUGGGAUUGGGGGAUCCCCUUCCCAAAAAUCCCUUGGGAUUGGGGGAUCCCCUUCCCAAAAAUCCCUUGGGAUUGGGGGAUCCCCUUCCCAAAAAUCCCUUGGGAUUGGGGGAUCCCCUUCCCAAAAAUCCCUUGGGAUUGGGGGGAUCCCCUUCCCAAAUAUCCCAAAAAUCCCAAAAACCCACCCUGGGAUUCUCCCAGUGCCCCGAAAUCUCACCCUGGGGAGUUCCCAGUCCCUAAAAAUUCACCCUGGAGUGUUCCCAGUGCUCCCAGUGUCACCCUGGGGUGCUCCCAGUGCCCCAAAACUUCAUCCCCUUCCCAAAAAUCCCUUGGGAUUGGGGGAUCCCCUUCCCAAAAAUCCCUUGGGAUUGGGGGAUCCCCUUCCCAAAAAUCCCUUGGGAUUGGGGGAUCCCCUUCCCAAAAAUCCCUUGGGAUUGGGGGAUCCCCUUCCCAAAAAUCCCUUGGGAUUGGGGGAUCCCCUUCCCAAAAAUCCCUUGGGAUUGGGGGGAUCCCCUUCCCAAAUAUCCCAAAAAUCCCAAAAACCCACCCUGGGAUUCUCCCAGUGCCCCGAAAUCUCACCCUGGGGAGUUCCCAGUCCCUAAAAAUUCACCCUGGAGUGUUCCCAGUGCUCCCAGUGUCACCCUGGGGUGCUCCCAGUGUCCCAGAACUUGGUCUUGGGGUUCUCCCAGUGCUCCCAGUGCCCCAAAAUCCCACCCUGGAGUUCUCCCAGUUCCCAAAAUCUCACCUUAGGGUGUUCCCAGUCCCUAAAAUCCACUCUGGGCAGCUCCCAGUGCCACUCUGGGGCGUUCCCAGUGCUCCCAGUGCCAUCCUGGGGUUCUCCCAAUGUUCCCAGUGCCCCAAAAUCCCAUCCAGGGGUUCUCCCAGUGCUCCCAGUUCAAACCUGGGGUGUUUCCAGUGUCCCCAAAUCCCAUCCUGGGGUUCUUCCAGUGCUCCCAGUGCCCCAAAAUCCCAGCCUGGGCAGCUCCCAGUGCCACCCUGGGGUGUUCCCAGUGCUCCCAGUGCCACUCCAGGGAGCUCCCAGUGCUCCCAGUGUCACCCUGAGGUGCUCCCAGUGCUCCCAGUGCCCCAAAACCUCACCCUGGGGUGCUCCCAGUGCUCCCAGUGCCCCAAAACCUCACCCUGGAAUGUUCCCAGUCCUCCCAGUGCCAUCCUGAGCAGCUCCCAGUGCCCCCAAAUCCCACUCUGGGGUUCUCCCAGUGCUCCCAGUGCUCCCAGUGCUCCCAGUCCAGGGCUUCACCCCAAACCCCAGGAACUUCCCAGCCUCAAUUUUGGAGGAGGAAGGAGCAGAAUUCCAGCAGGACCUCACCAGGAUUUUGGGAAUCACCUUUUGGAAUUUAGAAAAAAAAAAACAAAAACAAAAACAAAAAACCCCCCCCCCCCCCCCCCCCCCCCCCCCCCCCCCCCCCCCCCCCCCCCCCCCCCCCCCCCCCCCCCCCCCCCCCCCCCCCCCCCCCCCCCCCCCCC